ACUUCCUGGUGUUUAGUCGGAAUCUUCUUUCUUGUAACUCGAAGUCACUGGUUCAAGUCCUACCCUCUAGAACAGGAGAAAACAAGUUUGCUUUGCGACAGCUCUUAAGUUAUUUGAAGAUGGCGAUCAUAUCUCCUCUCAAGUCUCCUUUUUUCCAGGCUAAACAUACCCAGCUCCCUCAA